rnacentral:rRNA from 1 species
AGGCCUACGGGUGGCAGCAGUGAGGAAUCUUGCGCAAUGGGGGAAACCCUGACGCAGCAACGCCGCGUGAGUGAGGAAGGUCUUCGGGUCGUAAAGCUCUGUCAGGCGGGAAGAAAUGCAUGGAGGUGAACAGCCGCCAUGCUUGACGGUACCGCCAGAGGAAGCACCGGCUAACUCCGUGCCAGCAGCCGCGGUAAUACGGGGGGUGCAAGCGUUGUUCGGAAUCAUUGGGCGUAAAGAGCGUGUAGGCGGCUUGGUAAGUCAGAUGUGAAAGCCCUGGGCUCAACCCGGGAAGUGCAUUUGAAACUGUCAGGCUCGAGUAGGGGAGAGGGAAGUGGAAUUCCUGGUGUAGAGGUGAAAUUCGUAGAUAUCAGGAGGAACACCGGUGGCGAAGGCGACUUCCUGGCCCUAUACUGACGCUGAGACGCGAGAGCGUGGGUAGCAAACAGGAUUAGAUACCCGGGUAGUCUUG